GUAGGAAUGUGGCUGGCUGACAGAGCUAUAGGACCUCAGAGGAGGUAGUGCUGCCAGAAGCCAGGAAGAGCAAGAAGCAGCCCUGAGCUGGUUGCGGGGGCUCCAUCAGGACGAGGUCCUGAGGAAUACCAUCAGAUCCAGAAACUCUGCAGUGCUUCCCGGCACUGAUUCUCAGCGCUGACUUUGUCAAGGAGCAGGACUGCACUAAUGCUGUAAUUACGGUGUUGGCUGAUCCACUACUCUUAUUAAGGCCUUGUCUGUGAUGUUGGAAGUGUGUUCUAAAGUCUCAAACUUUAAGUGAACUUUGAUUUCAUCUCCAGAAAGAACUUAUGGAACCUGCCAUUUCUCUAAAGGAUACAG